rnacentral:rRNA from 1 species
UAAUGUCUGGGAAACUGCCUGAUGGAGGGGGAUAACUACUGGAAACGGUAGCUAAUACCGCAUAACGUCGCAAGACCAAAGUGGGGGACCUUCGGGCCUCAUGCCAUCAGAUGUGCCCAGAUGGGAUUAGCUAGUAGGUGGGGUAAUGGCUCACCUAGGCGACGAUCCCUAGCUGGUCUGAGAGGAUGGCCAGCCACACUGGAACUGAGACACGGUCCAG